UUUGUUCGUUCGGCUUGAGUUA
rnacentral:miRNA from 2 species